rnacentral:rRNA from 1 species
ACCUCGAUGUCGGCUCAUCGCAUCCUGGGGCUGUAGCAGGUCCCAAGGGUUGGGCUGUUCGCCCAUUAAAGCGGUACGCGAGCUGGGUUCAGAACGUCGUGAGACAGUUCGGUCCCUAUCCGGCGCGGGCGUAGGAUAUCUGAGAGGAGCUGUCCUUAGUACGAGAGGACCGGGAUGGACGGACCGCUGGUGUAUCAGCUGCAUCGCCAGAUGCAUAAGGCUGGGUAGCCACGUCCGGACGGGAUAAACGCUGAAGGCAUCUAAGCGUGAAGCCCCCCUCAAGAUGAGAUAUCCCUGCUUCGGCAGUAAGACCCCUUGUAGAGUACGAGGUUAGAUAGGCACAAGGUGUAAGCAUGGUAACAUGUUCAGCUGAUGUGUACUAAUAGGUCGAGGGCUUAUCCA